GCCGCGGUAAUACGAAGGGGGCUAGCGUUGCUCGGAAUUACUGGGCGUAAAGCGUGUGUAGGCGGCGUGUUAAGUGCAAUGCGAAAUCUUGUGGCUCAACCAUAUAGACUGUAUUGCAUACUGGCAUGCUAGAGGAUGGCAGAGGCAAGUGGAAUUGGUAGUGUAGCAGUGAAAUGCGUAGAUAUUACCAGGAACACCAAUGGCGAAGGCAGCUUGCUGGGCCAUUUCUGACGCUGAGACACGAAAGCGUGGGGAGCGAACA
rnacentral:rRNA from 1 species